AUUUAUAUAAUGAAUCCCAGGAUAGAACAACUUGGCAUAUGUUUCACGCAGAAAUGUAGAUCAAAACGUCCAAGGGCCGGGCCCCCUCCACUGACAGAGCGUGGAUCACCGAUGCAUUCAAUGCUAUGAGCAAAACAUAGAAAUCAGUUUACGUAACGACUCCGGGAAAUAGAUCAGGUCUCUCCGCCGGAUCAAAUCAAUCUUGAUUUCAAUUCCAUAAUUGAGAUCUACGAUCGGUGAAAACGAAAAUUUAUACGAAAAUGGCGUCAAGGGGUAGGGUUUCGUGAUCCAGGCAGGCGGCCACCUAAUAUUCAGCAGCUGACAGCAUAAUAGAGAGGAGAUCCCCGACCAUCAUCAAGCAGGAAAAAUAAGAUCCACAAGUAAAAAGAACAUUCAUGGAAGGAGGAGUAGGAACUGAAUCGGAGCGUUGAAGGGAGCAGGAAAACUGACAUGGAACAGACAACUCGAGGCUUCCUUUCGACUCCGAACGAAAUCCAAUUGUCCAGUGAAAACAACCAGAGCACGGAGAAAUAUGAGGAGACGGAUCUCCGCGCAAUCAUGGAACGGAUCAGAUGCAGGCCAGCCGGGAACAACGUGGAGUUGAAAAAACUUACAUAGGGCAAGCGGAGGCUCCACGAAAGUUCCGAGGCGGCGAGCUGCGACUGCUCCUUCUCCCCGAAGCAACCGACGCUGCAGGCCAGAUCCGAAGAUCUCCCUCCGCCGGCAAUUGGCGGCGGCGGCGGCGUAGCAGGGGGAGUUCUCUUCGCCUGCCGUGCGCGGGAGAGCUUGAAGAAGCGGGGCGAAGUUGGGCGACGGGAACGGCAAGGAAGAAGGCCGUUUCCUC
rnacentral:lncRNA from 1 species